GAUGAACGCUGGCGGCGUGCCUAAUACAUGCAAGUCGAGCGAACGGACGAGAAGCUUGCUUCUCUGAUGUUAGCGGCGGACGGGUGAGUAACACGUGGAUAACCUACCUAUAAGACUGGGAUAACUUCGGGAAACCGGAGCUAAUACCGGAUAAUAUUAUGAACCGCAUGGUUCAAAAGUGAAAGACGGUCUUGCUGUCACUUAUAGAUGGAUCCGCGCUGCAUUAGCUAGUUGGUAAGGUAACGGCUUACCAAGGCAACGAUGCAUAGCCGACCUGAGAGGGGGAUCGGCCACACUGGAACUGAGACACGGUCCAGCCUCCUACGGGAGGCAGCAGUGGGGAAUCUUCCGCAAUGGGCGAAAGCCUGACGGAGCAACGCCGGGGGAGGGAUGAAGGUCUUCGGAUCGUAAAACUCUUUUAUUAGGGAAGAACAUAUGUGUAAGUAACUGUGCACAUCUUGACGGUACCUAAUCAGAAAGCCACGGCUAACUACGG
rnacentral:rRNA from 1 species